GGCAGCAUGGUGUAGUGGUUUCAGUGCUGGCCUAGGACUCCAGAAGGCCAGGGUUCAAAUCCCUGGUCAGCUA